AUGCCAUUCAGAUUGUGCAACGCGCCAGCCACGUUUCAGUGCCUGAUGAACACAGUCUUCGGCCGUUAUGUCCAUAAGUUCAUAAUCAUUUUCCUGGAUGACAUCUUGGUUUUCAGUUUCGACCUGCAGGAACACGAACAACACCUGCGCCUCACCUUGGACCUCCUUCGUGAGCACCAGCUGUUUGCCAAGGCCAGCAAGUGUUCGUUCGCGCAAACCAGUAUUGAGUACCUCGGGCAUGUGAUCUCACAAGACGGCGUUGCCACAGACACAAGCAAGACCAGUGCUAUGCAGGCCUGGCCCGUGCCCUCGACACCAACCGAGCUGCGGGAUUCUUGGGAUUGA
rnacentral:rRNA from 1 species